rnacentral:rRNA from 1 species
GACGGAGGGUGCUAGCGUUGUUCGGAAUCACUGGGCGUAAAGGGCGCGUAGGCGGCGCCGCAAGUCGGCCGUGAAAGCCCGGGGCUCAACCCCGGAGGUGCGACCGAGACUGCGGUGCUGGAGGCCGGAAGAGGAGGGUGGAAUACCCAGUGUAGAGGUGAAAUUCGUAGAUAUUGGGUGGAACACCGGUGGCGAAAGCGGCUCUCUGGUCCGGUCCUGACGCUGAGGCGCGAAAGCGUGGGGAGCAAACAGG